rnacentral:rRNA from 1 species
GACGAACGCUGGCGGCGUGCCUAAUACAUGCAAGUUGAGCGCUGAAGGUUGGUACUUGUACCAACUGGAUGAGCAGCGAACGGGUGAGUAACGCGUGGGGAAUCUGCCUUUGAGCGGGGGACAACAUUUGGAAACGAAUGCUAAUACCGCAUAAAAACUUUAAACACAAUUUUUAAGUUUGAAGGAUGCAAUUGCAUCACUCAAAGAUGAUCCCGCGUUGUAUUAGCUAGUUGGUGAGGUAAAGGCUCACCAAGGCGAUGAUACAUAGCCGACCUGAGAGGGUGAUCGGCCACAUUGGGACUGAGACACGGCCCAAACUCCUACGGGAGGCAGCAGUAGGGAAUCUUCGGCAAUGGACGAAAGUCUGACCGAGCAACGCCGCGUGAGUGAAGAAGGUUUUCGGAUCGUAAAACUCUGUUGGUAGAGAAGAACGUUGGUGAGAGUGGAAAGCUCAUCAAGUGACGGUAACUACCCAGAAAGGGACGGCUAACUACGUG